GAUGAACGCUAGCUGCAGGCCUAACACAUGCAAGUCGAGCGACCGGCGCACGGGUCAGUAACACGUAUCCAACCUGCGCUUUACUCGGGGAUAGCCUUUCGAAAGAAAGAUUAAUACCCGAUACAAAGGAUGGGGAUGCGUUCCUUUAGGUUGUGGGUGCGGUAACGGCGCACCAAGCCUUCGAUGGAGAGGGGUUCUGUGAGGAAGGUCCACCACAUUUGAAAUGCGAUACGGUCCAAAAUCGUACGGGAGGCAGCGGUGAGGAGUCUUGGGCAAUAGGCGGUACCCUGAACCAGCCGAGUGGCGUGAAGGGUGAAGGGGUAUGAGUCGUGUACUUCUUGGAUGGAAGGAGAUGUAUUAAAUGAGUAAGGAUCGGCUAACUCCGUGCCAGCAGCCGCGGUAAUAC
rnacentral:rRNA from 1 species